rnacentral:lncRNA from 1 species
UUGCAUCUCCUCCUUCUCCUGAUUUUCUUCUCUUUAUCCUUCCCCAGAAUCCUCCUCUCUGCCCAUACCUACAGUUUCCUCUUAAUCUCUAACUGCAUGUUCUUCUUCUUCCUCCUAUAAUGUGGCUCCACUUACUCCUACUCAUGUUCCUACACCUUCUGUUGUAUUCCUAACUAUUCCUCCAGUUUUUCCAUUGAGAAAGUCAUUUAGAACACACCAAAUACAUGGGUAUAUUCUAGACUUUGUGUGUAAUUCUACCUCUAUUUCCUGCCCUUCCCUCUCUUCUGUUUUACCAGCUCACACCAAUAUGAAGCAUGUUUGAAUUUAUGCUUUGUCCUGCCAAUCACAAUCCUUUAUUAACUUUCUUCCCACUGUGCAAGAUCCUAGAUCUUAUUCUUAGGCAGCUUUGCAUCCAGGAUAGCAAGAAGCUAUGUUCAAGGAAUUUGAAGCCUAAG